CGUGAGUGACCUGCCUUUGACUCUGGGAUAAGCCUGGGAAACUGGGUCUAAUACCGGAUGCAACUACUGCCCGCAUGGGCUGGUGGUGGAAAGGGUUAUGUACUGGUCUUAGAUGGGCUCACGGCCUAUCAGCUGGUUGGUGGGGUAAUGGCCUACCAAGGCGACGACGGGUAGCCGGCCUGAGAGGGUGACCGGCCACACUGGGACUGAGACACGGCCCAGACUCCUACGGGAGGCAGCAGUGGGGAAUAUUGCACAAUGGGCGCAAGCCUGAUGCAGCGACGCCGCGUGAGGGAUGACGGCCUUCGGGUUGUAAACCUCUUUCAGCAGGGAAGAAGCGGAAGUGACGGUACCUGCAGAAGAAGCGCCGGCUAACUACGUGCCAGCAGCCGCGGUAAUACGUAGGGCGCAAGCGUUGUCCGGAAUUAUUGGGCGUAAAGAGCUCGUAGGCGGCUUGUCGCGUCUGCUGUGAAAGCCCGGGCUUAACUCCGGGUGUGCAGUGGGUACGGGCAGGCUAGAGUGCAGUAGGGUAACUGGAAUUCCUGGUGUAGCGGUGAAAUGCGCAGAUAUCAGGAGGAACACCGAUGGCGAAGGGCAGGUUACUGGGCUGUUACUGACGCUGAGGAGCGAAAGCAUGGGGGAGCGAACAGGAUUAGAUACCCUGGUAGUCCAUGCCGUAAACGUUGGGCACUAGGUGUGGGGGGACAUUCCACGUUUUCCGCGCCGUAGCUAACGCAUUAAGUGCCCCGCCUGGGGAGUACGGCCGCAAGGCUAAAACUCAAAGGAAUUGACGGGGGCCCGCACAAGCGGCGGAGCAUGCGGAUUAAUUCGAUGCAACGCGAAGAACCUUACCAAGGCUUGACAUACACCGGAUCGUUCCAGAGAUGGUUCUUCCCUUUUGGGCUGGUGUACAGGUGGUGCAUGGUUGUCGUCAGCUCGUGUCGUGAGAUGUUGGGUUAAGUCCCGCAACGAGCGCAACCCUCGUUCUAUGUUGCCAGCACGUGAUGGUGGGGACUCAUAGGAGACUGCCGGGGUCAACUCGGAGGAAGGUGGGGAUGACGUCAAAUCAUCAUGCCCCUUAUGUCUUGGGCUUCACGCAUGCUACAAUGGCCGGUACAAUGGGUUGCGAUACUGUGAGGUGGAGCUAAUCCCAAAAAGUCGGUCUCAGUUCGGAUUGGGGUCUGCAACUCGACCCCAUGAAGUCGGAGUCGCUAGUAAUCGCAGAUCAGCAACGCUGCGGUGAAUACGUUCCCGGGCCUUGUACACAC
rnacentral:rRNA from 1 species